GCUUGGUGCAGCGGGACCCCCCGUGUCCCUGAUGAGUCCCUGGGGCAGCUCGGGGAGGCCUGGGAUCCGCUGCCAUCCCAUUCUGGCAGCCCCAGGCCAGGCUGGAGGUGGGCACAGGAGCAGUGCCUCUUUCUGGGGGGCCUCCCUGCUGGGAGCCUCACCCUCCUUAGCGAUGCUUCUUUUUGCACGGAAGGGCAGAAGACAGAACGUCAGACUCAGGCACUGCCUGCAGUAACUGCUCUCCAAUCCUAGUAGACGCAUGAGUGAAAGAGUUGGCAUCUGACUUUAGCUGGGAGGCCAGGGAGGGCUCUCUGAGGAGGGGACAUUUACACAGACCCUUGAGGACCAGGGGUGGGAGCUUGCGAGGAGCCAAGGCACAGCCCUUUUGGGCGGGCGCCUCGGGGAACUUCUGAGCUGGCGACUGGGAGGGGCCUGGGGAGGGUGGACUGCUGGAGGACACUGCCCUGGCACACGUGGUGCCAGUGCCCAGGACCAGGCGCAGUAGGACGAGGAGCAAGAUGGACAUAGAGUUGACCAGAAGAGUAACAUGUUGUGGUCAGACGGCAGGGGCAGUGGGAAGCUGACUCCCCUCGCCCUGCUGCCUGCAAGGGUGCAGGGCUGGAGGAAGAGAUGCGCUGUAUGCAGUCACACUCACCCUCCUGUUUGCAGGACAUAGGCAGGCCACAGCGGGCCUCGGGACCCUGCCCCCCAGCCAGGCACACUGGCCCAGCAGGUGCCAGCAGCAGCAGUGACCAGGCCCACGCCAUGGAGAACUCCUGAAUAUAUGGGAUGCGCUGGCCAUGCGGUCUUUGCUGUCCGCAUCAUCCAGGGCCUGCACCAGCCCCUGGCCAUGGAGGAAGCAACGUGGAUAUUGUCUAUUCCCAGUCCAUUCCCAGUCCCACCAGGCCGGCAAGAAGAACUGUGUCCAGUGUCGUCCUGUGUGUUCACCUCGGCUAAGCACCCGGCUUGCUUCGGGGACCCAGCUGUGCACCACUGUCAGGCCGGCCACUUGCUGCCCGCUGGGCCUCAGAUCCUCUCCUCCUCCUCCUCUCCCAGAACCUGUGUCCCAGGAACUACAUUUCCCAGUAUCCCUUGCAGCUUACCUCAGCCUCUGGGAUGCACAGUCAACUGAAGGAGGCAGAAAGGAGGCUGGGAAGUGAAGGAGGCUCUUCACUUGGCCUUGAGGACCAGUCUCUGGCGCUGGAUGUGUUUCUUGGUUGACUCCAGCUACCAGUGGAGAGUGAGCUUCCUCUGGUUCCAACUCCGCCAGCACAAUCCAGCCAUGCUUCCAUCUCCUGGAACAGCCUUGGACUCUGCAUUUGGGCAACACCACCUGCUCCUGCUUCACACAGAAGCCAGAAGGUAAGGGAGACCAGCACUGCUCCUCUUCCUGAGUGGAAUCCGGUGGGUCAACUACCCAAGUGGUGAAUGUAGCCCAGGCCUGCCGGUCGGAGCGCCAGCCACCCCCAUCCCCAACUGUGAUGGACCAGGGUGGGCCACGUGACUUGAUGGAACCAGUGAGAGUGGGUUCUGAAUCUUUGCAUGCGUGAAGGGGAAGUUGCCUUCUCCUCUACCUCGGUGUAGUGACAGAGGCGAAAGAGCUGCUGCCACGGAGCAUCUGUCAACAACAUGUGAGCUAGGCCAGGC
rnacentral:lncRNA from 1 species